rnacentral:SRP_RNA from 1 species
GGUCGAUCCAGUGACCCAGCAAUCCGGUAAGUCGUCCGGUUCAGUGUCCGGGUUGGGUUUAAAAACAUUGGUCUGGUUUGAACGAAGGCUCAGAAUCAGGUGGGUGCUAAAAUCAGAGGGUAAUGUGUCAGGCUGUUUCACAGAGCAGCGACUACUUCUCGCUCUCUGCAGUGGACGGAUACGGCUCGGAGCCACUCAUACCCGCCAAUAUGGCCUGCUGGUUCGUUUUCAGUUGAAC